rnacentral:rRNA from 1 species
CCGUUAACGAACGAGACCUUAACCUGCUAAAUAGCCCGUAUUGCCUUGGCAGUACGCUGGCUUCUUAGAGGGACUAUCGGCUCAAGCCGAUGGAAGUUUGAGGCAAUAACAGGUCUGUGAUGCCCUUAGAUGUUCUGGGCUGCACGCGCGUUACACUGACAGAGCCAGCGAGUUCUUCCUUGGCCGAAAGGUCCGGGUAAUCUUGUUAAACUCUGUCGUGCUGGGGAUAGAGCAUUGCAAUUAUUGCUCUUCAACGAGGAAUUCCUAGUAAGCGUAAGUCAUCAACUUGCGCUGAUUACGUCCCUGCCCUUUGUACACACCGCCCGUCGCUAAUACCGAUUGAAUGGAUA